GGCCGCGUAGCGCAGUCGGUAGCGCUUUUUGUGUUCCCCCAAACAGGCCUAGGUUCAAACCCUCCAGAGGUAU